AUUGAACGCUGGCGGCAUGCUUUACACAUGCAAGUCGAACGGUAACAGGGAGCUUGCUCCGCUGACGAGUGGCGAACGGGUGAGUAAUAUAUCGGAACGUACCCAAGAGUGGGGGAUAACGUAGCGAAAGUUACGCUAAUACCGCAUACGACCUAUGGAUGAAAGCAGGGGAACUUCGGGCCUUGUGCUACUGGAGCGGCCGAUAUCUGAUUAGCUAGUUGGUGAGGUAAAGGCUCACCAAGGCGACGAUCAGUAGCUGGUCUGAGAGGACGACCAGCCACACUGGAACUGAGACACGGUCCAGACUCCUACGGGAGGCAGCAGUGGGGGAUUUUGGACAAUGGGCGCAAGCCUGAUCCAGCAAUGCCGCGUGAGUGAAGAAGGCCUUCGGGUUGUAAAGCUCUUUUGUCAGGGAAGAAACGGCUGUGGCUAAUAUCCACGGCUAAUGACGGUACCUGAAGAAUAAGCACCGGCUAACUACGUGCCAGCCGCCGCGGUAA
rnacentral:rRNA from 1 species